GAUGAACGCUGGCGGCGUGCCUAAUACAUGCAAGUCGAGCGAACAGACGAGGAGCUUGCCCCUCUGACGUUAGCGGCGGACGGGUGAGUAACACGUGGAUAACCUACCUAUAAGACUGGGAUAACUUCGGGAAACCGGAGCUAAUACCGGAUAAUAUAUUGAACCGCAUGGUUCAAUAGUGAAAGACGGUUUUGCUGUCACUUAUAGAUGGAUCCGCGCCGCAUUAGCUAGUUGGUAAGGUAACGGCGUACCAAGGCGACGAUGCGUAGCCAACCUGAGAGUGUGAUCUGCCACGCGGGAACGUAUCCACGUGUCAGACUCCUUCGUGAGGCAGCCGUAGGCAAUCUUUCCCAAUGCCCCAAAGCCUGACGGAGCAGCGCCGCGUGACGGAAGCAGGUCUUCGCAUCCUAAAACGCUCUUAUUAGGGAAGAACAAAUGUGUCAGGAACUAUGCACUUCUUGACGGUACCUAGUAAGAAAGCCACGGCUAACUACGUG
rnacentral:rRNA from 1 species